rnacentral:rRNA from 1 species
UACGAAGGGGGCUAGCGUUGCUCGGAAUCACUGGGCGUAAAGCGCACGUAGGCGGAUUGUUAAGUCAGGGGUGAAAGCCUGGAGCUCAACUCCAGAACUGCCCUUGAUACUGGCAAUCUCGAGUCCGGAAGAGGUAAGUGGAACUCCGAGUGUAGAGGUGAAAUUCGUAGAUAUUCGGAAGAACACCAGUGGCGAAGGCGGCUUACUGGUCCGGUACUGACGCUGAGGUGCGAAAGCCGUGGGGAGCAAACAGG